rnacentral:rRNA from 1 species
GGACUGUGGGCUGCAACCCGCCCACACGAAGUUGGAGUUGCUAGUAAUCCCGAAUCAGCAUGUCGGGGUGAAUGCGUUCCCGGGUCUUGUACACACCGCCCGUCAAGCCAUGGGAGUUGGGAGUGCCCGAAGUCGGUGACCUAACCGUAAGGAAGGAGCCGCCUAAGGUAAUACCAAUGACUGGGGUUAAGUCGUAACAAGGUAGC